GUUUUUCUCUUAAAUUUGAAAAGGAAUAGAUAAGAUUUUCAGAACUUUUAUACUUAGAAAUGUGCUAAGAAUAAUUUUAAAAGCCAAACGAGUCCAGUUAAUAUUGACUGAAACAAGAAGUUACUUUAUAAAACAUCUAGGAGCUAAGGUAGGAAUGGAGAAAUUAAUACACCACCACUUGGAUUUAAUAGAUGUUACUGUCUAUUCCUAGUUCUGAUUGUGGAAACGUACACUGAACACCAUACCUAUGAACCUCACUUUUGCUUGUAAGAUUUUCAUAGUUGAAGAGCUAAUAUGGCCCACAGACUUGUAAUAAUUGAAGAUUCCUUGUAGGAUUUUUUCUUUUCUAUUCACAUGUGCAGAUAAUGUACAGGCAUGCUCACAUUGCCUCAGUAGAAGUUGGAAUCAUACACAGAGACUGAAAUCACAAUUUCUAGCCAUGCCUUUAAAUAUUAGUUUGAAAAAUUGCUGUUUUGUUUCUUGCUAUCAGUCUCACUUUAAAAUUGACAAGAAAAUAAACAGAUUUUUGGCAGUUGCCUUUAACUUUGUAAAUCUUAAUCUGAUUUAUGUUUGUUUAAAUUACCAGGAAUAGAAAAUUCAGAUACUUAGAUUUUUAUAGAAUUCCUUUAAAAAUUGUGCCCAAACUGUAGGAUGACAAGGGUCCCUGAAUUAUUCGUUUACUUGAGGGAAACAUUUCUGAUUUAAUUGAAAAAUUUUUCACCACCAUUAUGUUUUCAUAGUUGAGCUGGUAAGAGUGGGUAGUUAUUUCAAUAGGUGUUGGGAAUUAAAAAAAAAAAAGCAUAGCUAGUUUCCUGAUUACUGAUCGCUUUUCUCCCAAAAUGGGUUUGGAACACAGAAAGUGUUUUGCAGAAGCAGCAAUGAGAUUCAUGUGAUGAAGGUUUCCGCCCCCAGACUGAACCCAGAAUGUUUUCUCACUUUUGGUGUCAAAAUGUCAAAUAUUUGAAACAAUAAUGGUGAUGAAACAAAGUUUACAAACCAUGCUUGAAUAAGAUGGGUUAUCCUACACUUAAGUUAGUUUUUGUUUGUUUUGGCGGGAGGGAGGAGUGGUGUGAGGAGUCUUUAGGCUUAGUAGAAGGAAAUUGUAGGAGAAAAUGAAUUUUUGGGGCAGUAUUUCUGUUGGUAAACCUGGGCACUUUGAAGGACAGAGACUUUAUGUAUAAUUUUGGUAUAUGAUAAUAGCAGUUACUUAUUGAGCAUUCUGUUAUAUUCUGAGUCCUGAGCCAGGAGCUUUGCAUGUUUGAUAUUGGAUCUGUAAGGCAGAGAUGGUCACUCCCACUGUACAGAUGAAAAAUCUGAGGCUUGUGAAGAUUAAUUGACCCGGGUUGCACAGCAAGUGACAGCUGACACAAGCCUCUAUUAAGCUACUCCAGACUUUUAUUUAAAUGUCAUUGUCCUGUAUACACUAUACAUAUGGCCUGUGUUCCUUGGUUUACUAAUGGAGCGAAGGAAGGAUGGAGAAAAUGGAACAUGAUUGUAUGUGUAUGUGUGUCUGUCUUUGAACUGUGACUGUGAAACGAGGAACGGGAGGGAGAAUAGGGAAACCUGGUAUUUGUAAAAUUCCUCUUAGGGUGAAGAAACGUGCAGAAGAAAUGUGAGGGUUUCAGCCCCAAGUCCUCUA